rnacentral:rRNA from 1 species
UACGUAGGUGGCUAGCGUUGUCCGGAUUUACUGGGCGUAAAGAGCGCGCAGGCGGUCGUACAAGUCGCGUGUGAAAGCCCCCGGCUCAACUGGGGAGGGUCACGCGAUACUGUUCGACUCGAAGGCAGGAGAGGGAAGUGGAAUUCCCGGUGUAGUGGUGAAAUGCGUAGAUAUCGGGAGGAACACCAGUGGCGAAGGCGACUUCCUGGCCUGUUCUUGACGCUGAGGCGCGAAAGCUAGGGUAGCAAACGGG